UAUAUAUAUAUAUAUAUACCUCUUAUUUGCUCUGUGAUAGACUCCUCACUCCAGGUUACAGCCAUAGGCGUUGCCCAUUUCUUAAACCUUCCUCUUGAGAAUCAAGAAAUUAGUGUUUCUCUGCAUUUUAGAAUCGAUGCAGUGGAGGGUGUUCGUACUUUUAUCACUGUCCUUUUUCCAUCAACAUCCACCUAAAUAGUGUCACUGAUCCUCUUGAAGAUGGAGAACUACACUUUCACUUAAGCAGGCCUCUUACAGCUUUUGUUUAGGUUGACCAGGGCAUCUCAUUUUUAUAGAAUUCCUUCCUUCGUAAACUAGAUUACCCUUUACUGUCGGUAGGAUAUGAUAUAGCCUUGGUAGGAAUACUUACCUGAAAGGUACAGAUUUUUUGCAAGUCACUCAGAAAGGGCUUCAUUUAAUUGCAUAAAUCUUGAGUGACUUGGUUUAGUCUCUGCCAUGUCAUCCAUUGUGUGUUUCCAUCCAGCUUUUUUUUUUUUUUCCAGAAUUGGAUAAGUUUCAAAUGAUGAGCCUUCUAUGGAUGGGGGCAUUAUUCAUUUGCUAAUUUCAGCCAUAUGGAUGAAAAUGUUCAUACAUCCAAGGAAUCGGUGUCAAAGGUACCAUUUAGACCAGGGGUAGGCAACCUUGGCUCUUUUAUGACUCGUGGACUUCAACUCCUAGAAUUCCUGAGCCAUCCACAGCUGGCUCAGGAAUUCUGGGAGUUGAAGUCCACGAGUCAUAAAAGAGCCCAGGUUGCCUACCCCUGAACCACAUACAUUUGGAUCUUCUCAUGCAACAGUAAUAAUGUUUAUAAAAUAAAGCUGGUCUUUAAAAAAAAAAAACCUUAGUGUCUGAAAUGUAGUGCCAAUUUUGUUCUCUCACCUUUGAGAGAUGAUAAUUCUUGGCAGCAGUGUCUGUGCCCUUUUUUUGCCUACUGGAAAUCAUUGUAAUAUGGAUUUAGGAAAUGGUAAAAAAACAUUUCAGUCCUAAAUUUCUGUACUUUUGAGUAGCUAAAUACUGCUCUACUUCUCUCUCCUCCCCCCCCCCCAGGCUUCCUUUCCUUCCUCCGUGUGAGUAACAUUAUGAAAGUUAAAGCUAAUAAAGCUGCUGUAUUUUGCCCAAUUGGUUUAAGGUACUGCAUCGACUGACUCGCCUUCCCCCAGUUCUGUUAAGAAAGAAAAACCUUGGAGUCUACUAGGAUGGCUAUUCAGGAGAGGGGUAGAUUUGAGCAGGGGGCCUUAAUUUUCACCAGCUAGAGCUAUUAUUAUUCUCCUUUCACCUCCAAGAUACUGGUGAAAGAGAGACUGCUUUAGAACUCCUUGAAAUUCGGCAUAGUGUUUGGGGGGGGGGUGACAGUGUGGCAAAACAGUAUGAUUUGGGGUGAAAGGAUUUGGUUUUCUAGUUCAGAGGUGGGGAACCGUGGCCCUUUAUGGCUCGUAGACUUCAAGUGAGCAUGGCUGGCUCAGGAAUUCUGGGAGUUGAAGUCGUUCCCCAGCCCUGCUCUUCGUUAGACAACUUACAUGUGGUUGCUUGCUCCCUGUUGGCUUUGUCUUUUUUCCAUUAACCGGGUUAAAUUCCUAAUACUGCUGUGAGAACAAGGACGCAAGGAUGUGUGCAGCAAGAGACAAGCCCUGGACAGUGGUAACCUUCCCUUUGUUUCCCCUGCUUCUCCCACCAUUUUAGCAAGUGGUCAGAAAGGCAGUAUUGAAACCGGUUCCCAGUAGUCAGGGCUCAGUUCUCAAGACUUUCCUUGCCCUGCUUUUCCCUAGCGCUUUCCUGUAAAAGAGGGGGCCACCUGCAGCGGUCUUUUCCUGGCAUGGCAUGUUGCUGGACCAACAGCUUCUUAUGUUUUAGGGCAAUUAGAUACUUCCUGAUCUCUUGACCCAAAUUUUGACGUGGGCAAAGGUUAAAGCCAGCUCGUCUCAAACUCUGGAAGGGGGCAUGUAUUGCUUACCUGCAGAUUUGGUUAUGAGGGCGAAAGGGAGGGGGGGGACCUGGUUGGCUUCUGUUUCUGGAUGAAGAGUGGAAGGCCCUUGGAGAGAUUUCUGAUCAAAAAGUGGUAACUUAAACCUGGGUUACAUGCCAGCUUAGCACGUGGCUCUUCUCUACUUUAGCAAUGAAAUGUGAAACGUUUUCUUUAGAAGAUUGUUGGGUUGGGAUCCUUUCCUAUCACACAGUUUUAUUUCCCAACACAAAUAGAUGACUAAUGGAGAAUCGCACUUGGGCUGCCUGCCCAAUCCCACUUUCUGGAAGAAGAAAAAAAAAAGAGUCAUUAAUUUAUCUUGGAUCUGUGAAAAAAAACCUCUGUUUCUUUCUCCACCCGUUCUUCUCUAAUCUCUGUCGCACACACGCGCAGGUGUGUGUAUGUGUGUAUUUUUUUUUCUCUAAUUCCAGGGACAAUCUUGACCUUCGUCUUGAGCCACAAAGCAGCAAAAUCAAUUUUGAAAUGGUGAGAAGCUAAGAAACAGCCCUCCAGCCCAGAGGGUUCAAGUGAAUCAGAGGCUGUGCGCACUGCCCCCCCCUUACCCGCGAGGCUGCCUAGCAGCAGCCCUUUUUUUAAUUAUUUUUAUUUUUUAUCUUGCAUGAUAAAAAAGCAAGGUGCAUGUACUAAGGAGGGGAGUCCACAAUGGGUCUUCCAAACUUCAGGAACAAAGGUGCUUUCACCUCCUACAAGAGAUCUUGGUUCUGCUGUGGGGUGGCAGCCUACUCACCUCUCCCCGAUUUAGCUAAUCCAUUGCUUCACGGAGCACCUUGCCGGUUUUUCUCAUCCCAAACAAUCACAAAUCCUGGGAAUGUGUGGCAAGGACUGGGGUUCCUGGUUCUGAAGUGAUGUUUGCCCAUUGCCUGGAGACUGCCUCCUUUCUUGCUCUCUUUUUAGCUAUGUUUAAAAAAGAAUGGUGACAAAUGUUAUUUAUUGGCGGAAAUUAUUUAAUAUAAUUUCUUUUUUUGUGAAAAAGGAAUGACUUUGUUAGAGCUGUCUUAAUGUAAAUUGGAAAGUCAUCUUUAAGAGAAAAAAAAAAACCUUAAAAAUUAAAUGACAGUUGUUUGGCUCCGGUGUCAUUUUUCAGACUGCUUGAGCAAAUAGCUCAGAGUUAAUUAAGACUCCUUGUUUUCCUGCCUUUUCCAGGUCAACGGGAAAAAGCCUUAAUAUCUCUCGCCUGUUUGUUUGGAAGUCAAGUGAUUAAAAGAAAAAAAAAGCAGUGAUGCAGCUCAAAAAUAAGUGGUUGCUACCGGUCUUUCGACGGUGUCCCCAUCGCCACCGAAACCGAGCUACUCCACCUUGUUGCUGGUUGUCCUUUCUUCCACCUUUCCCCAUGUGACAGGCAUCUCUAGGGAGCUAGGUCUUCGCAAUAAUAGAUCCAAAGUGGGAUAAAUUGAGUGUGGGGCCCCAAGAAGAAAAUGAGGAAAAUCCUGCCAUAGACAGCCAAUAAUGGAGUCCUCCAGAUGGUGUAGAAUGCUAGCUCCUGUGAUCGCUUGUAAGCAUGGCCAAAGUUAGGGGAAGGGGGAAAUUGCAGUCCACAACUUUGCAAUGCCACAACUUCCUAGCUUGAAACUUUCCUGCUUCUUUUCAGUUGUUUUCAUUGUCUUGGCCUAAGCUGAAGCCCUCUAUUUCUUCCCUUGUCUUGCUUUUCCACCCAGUUCAAUCAUGGUUUGUCAUGCAUUUUCUGAAACCCUUGCUAUCACACAUGUACUGAAACAGGAUUCAAUUACUGCAUGUUAUAACCACUAGGCUAUAACUACUACACCAUGCGUAUACACUAACUAGGUUUGCAUAACCCACCAAACCCUGCAUGUGGAUUAAUCAAAAACAGUUGUGUUCACAGAGCAUGUCUUGCUCAGACAAACCAUAUUAUAACUUAAUAUGUGUCUGGCGUGAAAGGCAGGUUCACACCUGAAGGUUCAACUAAACCUAUUUAUUGCUAAACUCCUAUGCACAGAAAUCUUCUUAAUUAACUGUCGGCAUCUAUUUAGAUAAGGGUCAACAGCAUUCAGGAGGAUGGGGCUUAGUCCUCUUGUAGGGAUUCUAGGUUGAUCCCUUUUCAGUCCCCCCCUCCCAGGUUCUGCCAUCCCUUCUCCUACAACAGUGUUUCUCAACCUUGACAAUUUUAAGGCAUGUGGACUUCAACUCCCAGAAUUCCACAGCCAGCAAUGCUGGAAGUCCACAUGCCUUAAAAUUAUCAAGGUUGAGAAACACUGUCCUACAAUAUGGUGGUUGAGAUCCAGCAACAUAUAAUAUCACAAAUUAAACAACUCAAUUUUAACCUAGGCUACUUGUGCAAAUCUGUCCUAUACGUGAAUUAAGUAUAACACCAGUGACUUCCGAGUUAAUGUACAGUAGUGAUUAAGGUGAUGGAUUACGAACAGAGAGACCUGGGUUCAGGUCCACCCUCAGCCACCGAAGCUUGUCAAGAGGAUGGUGGGUCAUUCCCCGUUUCUCAAGUUUGCUGUAGAGAAAAAUGGAAUGCUUUGUGUACACUGCUAUGAGUGUAAAAAAGCAGAUAUAUAGUAUAUCCAAAUAGGACCACAGUAUACCAAGAAUGGUGCAACAGUGACCGAGCAAUAAGAGAAGUUAGAAACCGCUACUUUUCAGAUUUUUUCUAUUAUUGCAGAUAUUUCACUGGGCAACUCCUACUUUCUAAGGCUUUCAAAGAAAUGUCUAAAUUAGAGACUAAAUGUCUAAUUCAUUCUUCAGAGCCAGACCUCUUCUGAUGGCACAGAUUCUCAUCUGUGGGAAUCUUAACAACAGCCUUGUAGUAAAUGUAAAAAUCGACACUCGAGCCCUUUUGCCAGUUACGCAACAAGGUCACUUGUUUUCUUGCCUGUUCAGCAGUUCUUGGCUCAGCCUCGCUCAACUGAUGCUGGCUUUGCUUGCAGUUUGUACAAAGGCUAAAGUCCAAGUGAGUCACCUUACAAGUUCUGGGGAAGAAGCAGGAAACAAAAAGUCGUCAUACCAGUGAAAGGCGGGGAUCUGAUUGAACAUGAAGGCGUGUUUCAGAUGCAUCUUGGGAUCGCUGCUUACCGAAGCAAAUUUGAAAAGCAACUGAAGUGGGUUACCUUCACAGAAAGAGAAUUAGGGAGUGGACUCUCUGAUCCCCUUUCCCAAAUGCUUCUGUGUCGUAGUGUGGGUUCUAAUCCCCUUUAACGCUGAAGUUUUAUUUUUAUUUUGCAUUUAUUUUUCCCCAAAAAAUCAAAACCAUGCAGCAAGUGUGGUGACAUAUUUAUGUUUGUUUUAAUCUUGAGGGCUACGUUUUCCCUUGGACGCACUUGCUGAGACAACAGAUUGUAUAUCAGGCUACACUAGUUUAUAACUGGCUCAGCCUGUCGUUGUGAGAUCCUGGCCACUGUCAUAGCAUAAAACAAACCAAUUGCAGUUUUCAAAACAAUACUAUUGCUGGUCAAGAAGGGAGGUUACUACCCAGAUAGAAACCAUACUUGGCCUGUGGAGAUCCUAUUUGCUGCAUUUUGCCUAGAAGCAACAUCUAGAAGCACACAGUUACCUUUUUUCUUCUUUUUCUAAGAUUUUGGAGAAGCAGAGAAGGGAGAAGGUAAAGCCUAUCAAAAGAAACAGGAAAGCCUUAACUUGACUACAAUUAGUCCCUGAUUUAGGACGAGCCCAAAACUUUCUGUUGCUAAGUGAAAAAUUUGUUAAGUGAGUUUUGCCCCGUUUUUAUGACUUUUCUUGCCACAGUUGUUAAGUGAAUCACUGAAGUUAAGUUAGUGACGGGUUGUCAAAUGAA